rnacentral:rRNA from 1 species
AGACGUAGGGGGCGAGCGUUGUCCGGAAUUACUGGGCGUAAAGAGCACGUAGGCGGAUAUUUAAGUCAGGUGUGAAAGACCGCAGCUCAACUGCGGGGUUGCACCUGAAGCUGGGUAUCUUGAGGGCAGGAGAGGGAAGUGGAAUUCCUGGUGUAGCGGUGAAAUGCGUAGAAAUCAGGAGGAACACCAGUGGCGAAGGCGGCUACCUGGACCGAUAUUGACGCUGAGACGCGAAAGCGUGGGUAGC